rnacentral:rRNA from 1 species
GACGAACGCUGGCGGCGUGCUUAACACAUGCAAGUCGAACGGAAAGGCCCCUUUCGGGGGGUACUCGAGUGGCGAACGGGUGAGUAACACGUGAGUAACCUGCCCUUGACAUUGGGAUAACUCCAGGAAACUGGGGCUCAUACCGGAUAGGAGCUCUUGCUGCAUGGUGGGGGUUGGAAAGUUUCGGCGGUUGGGGAUGGACUCGCGGCUUAUCAGCUUGUUGGUGGGGUAGUGGCUUACCAAGGCUUUGACGGGUAGCCGGCCUGAGAGGGUGACCGGCCACAUUGGGACUGAGAUACGGCCCAGACUCCUACGGGAGGCAGCAGUGGGGAAUAUUGCACAAUGGGCGGAAGCCUGAUGCAGCAACGCCGCGUGCGGGAUGACGGCCUUCGGGUUGUAAACCGCUUUCGCCUGUGACGAAGCGUGAGUGACGGUAAUGGGUAAAGAAGCACCGGCUAACUACGUG